rnacentral:sRNA from 1 species
AAUGAGCGCUCUCGCGGAGAGCGACGAGGCCAAUAUGGCUUCCUGCACCUGGUGACGCUUGGCGAAACUGAGGUCUCAUGGAGAAGCCCCCGAGUAUUGAGGAGACCCCAUCUUCAGAACCAAUGGAAGAAGAGGAAGAUGAUGACUUGGAGCUGUUUGGUGGCUAUGAUAGUUUCCGGAGUUAUAACAGCAGUGUGGGCAGUGAGAGCAGCUCCUAUCUGGAGGAGUCAAGUGAAGCAGAAAAUGAGGAUCGGGAAGCAGGGGAACUGCCGACCUCCCCGCUGCAUUUGCUCAGCCCCGGGACUCCUCGCUCCUUGGAUGGCAGUGGUUCUGAGCCAGGUGGCCAUAUCGGGUGAGUCAUGUGCUAAGUUCUCUUCCCAGCUGUCUGUGAGAUGUGUGGUAUCGUGGGUACAAGGGAAGCCUUCUUCUCCAAGACCAAGAGGUUCUGCAGCGUCUCCUGCUCCAGGAGCUACUCCUCCAAUUCCAAGAAAGCCAGUAUCUUGGCUAGAUUACAGGGAAAACCACCGACCAAAAAAGCCAAAGUCCUGCACAAAGCUGCCUGGUCUGCCAAAAUUGGAGCCUUCCUCCACUCCCAAGGGACAGGACAGCUGGCAGAUGGGACACCAACAGGACAAGACGCUCUGGUCUUGGGCUUCGACUGGGGGAAGUUCCUGAAGGAUCACAGUUACAAGGCUGCUCCCGUCAGCUGUUUCAAGCACGUCCCACUCUAUGACCAGUGGGAGGAUGUGAUGAAAGGGAUGAAGGUGGAGGUGCUCAACAGUGAUGCUGUGCUCCCCAGCCGGGUGUACUGGAUCGCCUCUGUCAUCCAGACAGCAGGGUAUCGGGUGCUGCUUCGGUACGAAGGCUUUGAAAAUGACGCCAGCCAUGACUUCUGGUGCAACCUGGGAACUGUGGAUGUCCACCCCAUUGGCUGGUGUGCCAUCAACAGCAAGAUCCUAGUGCCCCCACGGACCAUCCAUGCCAAGUUCACCGACUGGAAGGGCUACCUCAUGAAACGGCUGGUCGGCUCCAGGACGCUUCCCGUGGACUUCCACAUCAAGAUGGUGGAGAGCAUGAAGUACCCCUUUAGGCAGGGCAUGCGGUUGGAAGUGGUGGACAAGUCCCAGGUGUCACGCACUCGCAUGGCUGUGGUGGACACAGUAAUCGGGGGUCGCCUACGGCUCCUCUACGAGGAUGGUGACAGUGACGACGACUUCUGGUGCCACAUGUGGAGCCCCCUGAUCCACCCAGUGGGUUGGUCACGACGUGUGGGCCACGGCAUCAAGAUGUCAGAGAGGCGAAGUGACAUGGCCCAUCACCCCACCUUCCGGAAGAUCUACUGUGAUGCCGUUCCUUACCUCUUCAAGAAGGUACGAGCAGUCUACACAGAAGGCGGUUGGUUUGAGGAAGGGAUGAAGCUGGAGGCCAUUGACCCCCUGAAUCUGGGCAACAUCUGCGUGGCAACUGUCUGUAAGGUUCUCCUGGAUGGAUACCUGAUGAUCUGUGUGGACGGGGGGCCCUCCACAGAUGGCUCAGACUGGUUCUGCUACCACGCCUCUUCCCACGCCAUCUUCCCAGCCACCUUCUGUCAGAAGAAUGACAUUGAGCUCACACCCCCAAAAGGUUAUGAGGCACAGACUUUCAACUGGGAGAACUACUUGGAGAAGACCAAGUCGAAAGCCGCUCCAUCGAGACUCUUUAACAUGGAUUGCCCAAACCAUGGCUUCAAGGUGGGCAUGAAGCUGGAGGCCGUGGACCUGAUGGAGCCCCGGCUCAUCUGUGUGGCCACGGUGAAACGAGUGGUGCAUCGGCUCCUCAGCAUCCACUUUGACGGCUGGGACAGCGAGUACGACCAGUGGGUGGACUGCGAGUCCCCGGACAUCUACCCCGUCGGCUGGUGUGAGCUCACUGGCUACCAGCUCCAGCCUCCUGUGGCCGCAGGUGUGGGCUCUCAUGGCCCUAAGAGGCUCUGACUUUCUUUCCUCUUCUUUUUUCAUUCUUCCCCCGCCCCUGUGCCCAUCUCCGUUCUUUGGCAUGAGAUGGAGAUGUCUCAUGGACCACUCUAAGUAGAGAGUGAGCCCCGUCACCCAGCCCCUGCUCCUGACUUCUCUGUCUCCCUUUCCCUCUGGCCUGCAGAGCUCCUUCCUUAUCUUGCCCACUCUGUUAUAUGUUCGUGCCCUUGUGCACCCAGGUAAACUACCCAGGUCCCUCUGAGCAGCCCUGGUGACAAGGGUGGGAAGAAGGGACAGCUGUUCUCCAGCUCCUCCUCCAGCCCCGCCCUCUCCUCAUUGCCCAGCUUUGGCUUCCUGUCUUGGGGUGUCCCGUGUGGGAGGGUGGACGGGGUCUCCGGAUGCGCCUGUGCCCUGUGUCCUCCCAGGGACCCUCUUCUCAUCUCUUUCACCCUUGUCUUUCAACAACAGAACCGGC